CCGUUCGAUCACGGAAGUUAAACAACGUCGUGCCUGGUUAUUACCUAGAUGGGUGACAGCUUGGAAAUACCAGGUGCUGUAAG